GUGCUCAUAGUAAAAUCAAAUACAGUUUUUAUAUCAAAUGGAUCCAAAGGUCCUGGGCUGGUAAUAUUUGCAGUAGCCUACCAGUACCCAAAUCCGAUAACGUAGCACUUUGGUACGUGCUCACAGUAAAAUCAAAUAGAGUGUUUUAUAUCAAAUUGAUCCAAAGGUGUUGGGCUGGUAAUAUUUGCAGUACCAGUACCCAAAUUCCAAUAACGUAGCACUGUGGUACGUGCUCAUAGUAAAAUCAAAUGCAGUGUUUUAUAUCAAAUGGAUCCAAAGGUCCUGGGCUGGCAAUAUGACAGACAGGUUUAUCAGAAAGGUAAACAUAAAGAAGCCACAGGGUCAAUUACCUGAUGCAGUUUAAUAUUCUAAACUGACUGUUAUUGCAGAUGACACCUGUUUUAAUAUCCUUUGACAUGUUUCCAGUCAGGAUACUCCCAAGGGCGUCAAUUGCUUCUCAAAAGUGGGGGGAGGAGCAUAUCUUGAACAGUGUUAAUGGGAGCGCUAAGCCCUAAUGGUGUGGGGUCUAGGGCUCGCUGAAGGGCCCCAGGAAAUGUAUUCUAGAUGCUCUGUGGUGUGAUCUGAGGCAAUUUCUGACCACUUCAAAUGUUUGUGAGCAAAAUAAUCAUCUUUUAGACAUAAUUUUUGCGUUUGGAGUCAUCAGCUAUUGUGAGCUAUAGAAUCAUUAUUGUUGGCAACAAUUUUUAUUCGGGGACAAAACAAGUGUGGAGGGGGGACUUUUCCCCCCGUCCCCCACCGAUUGUCGCCCAUGGAUACUCAAGUCUGUUGUGUAGACAAAAGUAAACAAAUAUAAAGAGGUAAAAAUUGGGUUUAAUUUUCCCUCACUUUCUUUAUAUUUAUCAACAUUUUUUAGCUAGUGUGUGGUUGGUGUUUUACAUGCAUGUAAAGCAUUCAACAGCACAACGCUUGCAUUGUUCAUUUGAAUUAUAUUCAUCAUAACAAAACUUGUUAUUUCUCUCAGUGAUUCAGCAUCAGCAGUGCUUUGUUACAAAAUUUCCCAAACUCACAUAUUUGAGGCUUUCUCUCUUAUUGCAUCCCAGGUAAGUUCAGUUGACACUUAUUGUAAAUAUUCAUUUGUAUUUUGUGCCCUCCAUAGGCUGAUUGGUCCAUCCAUUGCUGAGAUGAAUGCUGAGAUUGGGGAGAGCCAUGCCCACCUCUACACAUCACAGACUGACGAACAGGUGCUAUAUGAAAUGACAGUGGCAGUCAACUGUGAGGAAGCCAAGAAACCUGUCUGCAAAAACAAGAACAGAUUCCCCAAUGUACUUCCAUGUACAGGCUGAUUGGUCCAUCCAUUGCUGAGAUGAAUGCUGAGAUUGGGGAGAGCCAUGCCCACCUCUACACAUCACAGACUGACGAACAGGUACUAACACAACAGCAGUUAUGUGGUGUGCUAUAUGAAAUGACAGUGGCAGUCAACUGUGAGGAAGCCAAGAAACCUGUCUGCAAA